rnacentral:rRNA from 1 species
AGAGUUUGAUCAUGGCUCAGGACGAACGCUGGCGGCGUGCCUAAUGCAUGCAAGUCGAGCGGGCUACAGUCUUCGGAUUGUAGCUUAGCGGCGAACGGGUGAGUAACACGUAGGUAAUCUACCCUUCAGAGGAGGACAACCUCAGGAAACUGAGGCUAAACCUUCAUACGUUCACUGGUAGGGAUACUGGUGAAGAAAGAGUUACCGUUGAGGUGGCUGCUGAAGGAUGAGCCUGCGGCCCAUCAGGUAGUUGGUGAGGUAACGGCUCACCAAGCCGAAGACGGGUAACCGGUCUGAGAGGAUGUCCGGUCACACUGGGACUGAGACACGGCCCAGACUCCUACGGGAGGCAGCAGCAGGGAAUCUUGGGCAAUGGGCGAAAGCCUGACCCAGCGACGCCGCGUGGAGGAAGAAGUCCUUCGGGGCGUAAACUCCUGGACUGGGGGACGAGGAAGGACGGUACCCCAGUAGAAAGGGACGGCUAACUACGUGCCAGCAGCCGCGGUAAAACGUAGGUCCCGAGCGUUGUUCGGAUUCACUGGGUGUAAAGGGCGCGUAGGUGGUUGUCUGUGUCUCAUGUGAAAACUCAGGGCUCAACUCUGAGAUUGCGUGGGAAACUAGGCAGCUAGAGGACGGUAGAGGGGAGUGGAAUUCCCGGUGUAGCGGUAAAAUGCGUAGAUAUCGGGAGGAACACCGGUGGCGAAGGCGGCUCUCUGGG